AUGAAGGCUCUACAGGUUCUUUCUCUUCCAUUCAUCGUUCGUUUGUUGUUAUACUUUAGCUUUGCAUUAUAACAUUGCAAUGAAAUAUUGUAGGCCCAGGUGGAAGAAGCAAGGAAGAAACAAGAGGAGAUGGCGGCGCAGAUGGAGGAAAUGCAGCGGAGGAUGGAGGAGGAAAACCGGAUUAGGAUGGAGCAGAUGUUCCAGUACAUGCAGAACUUUGCUUCGAGCAUGGGACAGUCUUUGCCUCCGCCACCGCCGAUGAUGUUCCCUCCGCCUCAGCCACCCACGACUACUCCUGUGAGUCACUUGACACAUUGUGCUUAAGAUUCAAUACUUUAAAUUUGACAACUUUAGAUGUUAGCUCAGAAUGUCCUAUCCUAUGUGCAGAAUCAAUCGGCGGCUUCGAAUAAUGAAGAUCAAGAUUUGUCGCAGUGGUCUCCUUGGCCUCCACGGAAGUAGACUUGGUUGUGAACAAUGUGGAAACUAAAUUGUGACUUGAACUUGGAU
rnacentral:lncRNA from 1 species